AAAGGGUGAGUAACACGUAGGUAACCUACCUUCGAAACUGGGAUAACUUCGCGAAAGCGGAGCUAAUACCAGGUAAGACCACGAUUCUUAAGGAUUGUGGUAAAAGAUGGCCUCUGUUUACAAGCUGUCAUUUGAAGAGGGGCCUGCGUCCUAUCAGCUUGUUGGUGAGGUAACGGCUCACCAAGGCAUUUGACGGGUAGCUGGUCUGAGAGGAUGGUCAGCCACACUGGGACUGAGACACUGCCCAGACUCCUACGGGAGGCUGCAGUCGAGAAUCUUUAGCAAUGGGGGAAACCCUGACUAUGCGACGCCGCGUGAGCGAUGAAGGCCUUCGGGUUGUAAAGCUCUGUCAGGUGGGAUGAAUACUCUGUCCUGAAUAAGGACAGAGUUUGACCGUACCACCAGAGGAAGCCACGGCUAACUCCGUGCCAGCAGCCGCGGUAAUACGGAGGUGGCAAGCGUUGUUCGGAUUUAUUGGGUGUAAAGGGCAUGUAGGUGUUCUAGUAAGUUCUGGCUGAAAUCCUUCGGCUCAACCGGAGAACGUGUCAGAAAACUGCUAGAAUUGAGUGCGGAAGAGGAGAACGGAAUUCCCGGUGUAAGGGUGAAAUCUGUAGAUAUCGGGAGGAACACCAGUGGCGAAAGCGGUUCUCUGGUCCGCAACUGACACUGAAAUGCGAAAGCUAGGGG
rnacentral:rRNA from 1 species